UACGAAGGGGGCUAGCGUUGUUCGGAAUCACUGGGCGUAAAGCGCACGUAGGCGGAUCUUUUAAGUCAGGGGUGAAAUCCCGAGGCUCAACCUCGGAACUGCCUUUGAUACUGGGGAUCUCGAGUCCGGGAGAGGUGAGUGGAACUGCGAGUGUAGAGGUGAAAUUCGUAGAUAUUCGCAAGAACACCAGUGGCGAAGGCGGCUCACUGGCCCGGUACUGACGCUGAGGUGCGAAAGCGUGGGGAGCAAACAGG
rnacentral:rRNA from 1 species